rnacentral:lncRNA from 1 species
AUUCAUACCAUCGCCGGAUUUACUUGUCAAGGGGCAGGACUAACAAGUGUAUUAGGUUCUAGAAAAGCUGUGCCUGCUUCCUUCUGGAAAAUUCCAGCGCUAGAGGAUGUAGGUAGGAUAAGGUCUGAAGACCGGUCGAGGAAUGCAGGAUCAUGGAAGGUUUAGGAGCUGGGCCUCCAUGUCUUCUGUACACAUUGGCCAACGUGAAGUGUUCCUCCAUCUUCUCAGGUAAACAGCACCAAGCUGCCUAGAGAGGAGAAGUUCUUAGCUGGCACCACACAGUCCCUCAGGACUGGCUCUACAAGUCACAGGACUGACCUGACUUCAGCUUGAUCAAGUCUCCUGUAAAG